CUUCAGCGACCCCAGCCACAGCGGGUCGCCGGCGCGCUCCCGGCCGUACGUGGCCAGCAGCGCGUCCGCCUC
rnacentral:antisense_RNA from 1 species